rnacentral:rRNA from 1 species
UACGGAGGGUGCAAGCGUUAAUCGGAAUUACUGGGCGUAAAGCGCGCGUAGGCGGCUAGAUAAGUCGGAUGUGAAAGCCCCGGGCUCAACCUGGGAACUGCAUUCGAUACUGUUUGGCUAGAGUAUGAGAGAGGGAGGUAGAAUUCCACGUGUAGCGGUGAAAUGCGUAGAUAUGUGGAGGAAUACCGGUGGCGAAGGCGGCCUCCUGGCUUAAUACUGACGCUGAGGUGCGAAAGCGUGGGGAGCAAACAGG